rnacentral:rRNA from 1 species
UAAGGAAUAUUGGACAAUGGAGGCAACUCUGAUCCAGCCAUGCCGCGUGCAGGAUGACUGCCCUAUGGGUUGUAAACUGCUUUUGUACGGGAGAAAACCCUUUCACGUGUGAAAGGUUGAUAGUACCGUAAGAAUAAGGAUCGGCUAACUUCGUGCCAGCAGCCGCGGUAAGACGAAGGAUCCAAGCGUUAUCCGGAUUCAUUGGGUUUAAAGGGUGCGUAGGCGGGUUUGUAAGUCAGUGGUGAAAGCCGGUCGCUCAACGAUCGAAUUGCCAUUGAUACUGCGGACCUAGAAUAUAGAUGAUGUUGGCGGAAUAUGACAUGUAGCGGUGAAAUGCAUAGAUAUGUCAUAGAACACCUAUUGCGAAGGCAGCUGACAAAACUAUUAUUGACGCUGAUGCACGAAAGUGCGGGGAUCAAACAGG